UGGCAGACGGGUGAGUAACGCGUGGGAAGCUACCUUGUGGUAGGGAACAACAGUUGGAAACGACUGCUAAUACCCUAUGAGCCCUAUGGGGGAAAGAUUUAUCGCCAUGAGAUGUGCCCGCGUUAGAUUAGCUAGUUGGUAAGGUAAUGGCUUACCAAGGCGACGAUCUAUAGCUGGUCUGAGAGGAUGAUCAGCCACACUGGGACUGAGACACGGCCCAGACUCCUACGGGAGGCAGCAGUGGGGAAUAUUGGACAAUGGGGGCAACCCUGAUCCAGCCAUGCCGCGUGAGUGAUGACGGCCUUAGGGUUGUAAAGCUCUUUCAGCAGUGAAGAUAAUGACAUUAACUGCAGAAGAAGCCCCGGCUAACUUCGUGCCAGCAGCCGCGGUAAUACGAAGGGGGCUAGCGUUGUUCGGAAUCACUGGGCGUAAAGCGUACGUAGGCGGACUGAUCAGUCAGGGGUGAAAUCCCGGGGCUCAACCCCGGAACUGCCUUUGAUACUGUCAGUCUUGAGAUCGAGAGAGGUGAGUGGAACUCCGAGUGUAGAGGUGAAAUUCGUAGAUAUUCGGAAGAACACCAGUGGC
rnacentral:rRNA from 1 species